UGUUGAAUAAGGUGGCAGGUAUUCUGAUGU
rnacentral:piRNA from 1 species